AUGGCCGACCGCGUCUACCCCGCCGCCAAGCCCACUCCGCCGCCCCCAAUGGCCAACGGAGGCGGCGGCCCGGCGGCGCCCAAGCCGCAGAUGUACCAGCGCCCCAUCUACAGGCCGCAGGGGCAGGCGAAGAGCAGGCGCGGGCGGUCCUGCCGGUGCAGCUUGUGCUGCUGCUUCUGCUGGGCACUGCUGGUGGUCGUCCUCCUCGCGCUAGUCGCCGCGGCCGCGGGCGGCGCCUUCUACGUGCUCUACCGGCCGCAACGCCCCAGCUUCACCGUCUCCUCUGUCCGCCUCAGCACGUUCAACCUCUCCUCCUCCACCACCGCGCCCGUCCUCACCGACUCCAUCCAGCUCACCGUCACCGCCAAGAACCCCAACAAGAAGCUCGUCUAUUUCUACGACGACUUCUCAUUCUCGGCCGCCACCGCCGCCAACGCAGUCCCGCUCGGGGACGCCACCGUGCCCGGGUUCGCGCAUGAUGCCGGCAACACCACCGUUUUCACUGCGACCAUCACCGCCGCUGGUGUCACCGUAGACCCCAGCGGCGCCGGCUCUGACCUUAAGAUGUCCGGCGCUUUCUCCGUCGCUAUAGAUGCCGACACGCGGGCCGGCGUCAAGGUCGGCAGCCUCAAGACCAAGAAGAUGGGCAUCCAGGUGCACUGCGAGGGCAUCAAGGUGACGCCACCCAGUCCACCUCCGCCAGCGCCGAAGAAGGUAAAGGGGAAGAAUGGCACCGCCCUGGCGCCUGCGCCUGCGUUGGACAACGCCGAGACGACCGCGAUGGUGAGCACCGCCGCGCACUCGUGCAAGGUCAGAGUCCGUGUGAAGAUCUGGAAGUGGACCUUCUAG
rnacentral:rRNA from 1 species